rnacentral:tRNA from 2 species
GCCCCGGUAGCUCAGUGGAUAGAGCAACCCCCUCCUAAGGGGUAGGCCGGACGUUCGAUUCGUCUCCGGGGCGCCA